rnacentral:rRNA from 1 species
UAUCUUUAGUUGCCAUCAUUAAGUUGGGCACUCUAAAGAGACUGCCGGUAGGUCAAAACCGGAGGAAGGUGGGGAUGAACGUCAAGUCCUCAUGGCCUUUAUGACCAGGGCUACACACGUACUACAAUGGCCGGUACAAAGGGCAGCGACACAGCGAUGUGAAAGCCAAAUCCCGAAAAGCCGGUCUCAGUCCGGAUUGGAGUCUGCAACUCGACUCCAUGAAGUUGGAAUCGCUAGUAAUCGUGGAUCAGCACGCCACGGUCGAAUACGUUCCCGGGCCUU